AACCACAGCCUCGAACCUAAACUGAAUGAAAAGACUGAAGCGACAAAAGAUACCACGAUUCUCUAACCGGAGAACUGCACAAGCUGGCGUUGGUGAGAAUCGCGAUUUACAAAGACGACUAGGCCGACAUCUUUGAUGGCGGAGGUUCUGCAACGUACAAUGAUGCACUCUUAGGUACUCCAGUCGUGUAGCUCGCACUUUCCAUUGAGAGUUGUACCCCUCUUGACUCCUAGGAAGGUCCCCAAGACAUCCGAUGAGGUUCUGGAUGCUCCAUCACUUCGAGAUGACCUUUACUUGUAUCUGGUGGACUAGUCCUUGCUAAAUGUCCUUGCGGUUGGAUUAGGAGCCUCGGUUUAUUUAUGGAACACAUCAAACAGCACGGUUAAGAAGACAAAGAUCUGAAGGCACGUUCAUUGCUCUCCCCGAGUUAAUAACAAACAUGUUUGGUUUGUCCUAUUGUUUGACUUCAUGUAAAUUUUUGGUGCGGGUGGGUGAAGCCAUGGAAGGGUCCAUCGAUUGCAAGUUCUAUAUAUUUUGAGUUCAGAUAAACCAAGUGUAAUGAACAUGGAGUAUUUGAAGCUAAAUUUGUGGCAAUUUCUGUCUUUCUCAUGGCUUAUGUUUCCAGAAUUGUGAAGAAUAAUUGACCAAUUCUCUUUUAGAGUUGUAAGCUAUUUAUUUUGGGAAUGACUGCCAAAUGGUCAUUUUGUAACAUUCAUAUUUUGUCAAUAAGAUCUCAUUAUGCAUGCUUAAAGACAUGCAAAGC